rnacentral:rRNA from 1 species
GAUGAACGCUGGCGGCGUGCCUAAUACAUGCAAGUCGAGCGAACAGACGAGGAGCUUGCUCCUCUGAUGUUAGCGGCGGACGGGUGAGUAACACGUGGAUAACCUACCUAUAAGACUGGGAUAACUUCGGGAAACCGGAGCUAAUACCGGAUAACAUGUUGAACCGCAUGGUUCAACAGUGAAAGACGGUCUUGCUGUCACUUAUAGAUGGAUCCGCGCCGCAUUAGCUAGUUGGUACGGUAACGGCUUACCAAGGCAACGAUGCGUAGCCGACCUGAGAGGGUGACCGGCCACACCGGAACUGAGACACGGUCCCGACUCCUACGGGAGGCAGCAGUAGGGAAUCUUCCGCAAUGGGCGAAAGCCUGACGGAGCAACGCCGCGUGAGUGAAGAAGGUCUUCGGAUCGUAAAACUCUGUUAUUAGGGAAGAACAAAUGUGUAAGUAACUAUGCACGUCUUGACGGUACCUAAUCAGAAAGCCACGGCUAACUACGUG